AUACGUAGGGUGCGAGCGUUGUCCGGAAUUACUGGGCGUAAAGAGCUCGUAGGUGGUUUGUCGCGUCGUCUGUGAACUUCCGGGGCUUAACUCCGGGCGUGCAGGCGAUACGGGCAUAACUUGAGUACUGUAGGGGAGACUGGAAUUCCUGGUGUAGCGGUGAAAUGCGCAGAUAUCAGGAGGAACACCGGUGGCGAAGGCGCGUCUCUGGGCAGUAACUGACGCUGAGGAGCGAAAGCAUGGGUAGCGAACAGGAUUAGAUACCCUGGUAGUCCAUGCCGUAAACGGUGGGCGCUAGGUGUAGGGGUCUUCCACGACUUCUGUGCCGUAGCUAACGCAUUAAGCGCCCCGCCUGGGGAGUACGGCCGCAAGGCUAAAACUUAAAGGAAUUGCCGGGG
rnacentral:rRNA from 1 species